UUUAGGGUUUUGUGAUGGGGAGAAGUGCUCUAAGCCAUGGCGAUUUUCACAAGCUUCCGCGGCGCAAGCUCCAGCAGCUGUGCAAGAAGCACGGAAUCCCGGCGAACAAGACGAACAGCUUCAUGGCGGAUGCGCUGUCGAAGAUUUCCAGGGAGGAGAUUGAUAAAGAAAUUGAGGUAGAACAAGAGGUGCGCGGUGGCUCGGAGACACAAUCGGAGGCUACGGAGGUGGACAAGCAAGUCGAAGGCAGUGAGGAGCGUGUGACAAACUCGCUUCUAAGUGAUUCUGGGGAGAUUGCUGUGAGUAAUGGAGUUAAGAUCCCUAUAGAAAUGGGAAAUCAAGCAGCUUUGGAGAUGGAUCCACAGAAUAUGCGGCCAAGUCCACAAGCGCUCGACCAUAGGAACAGCGAGAAUGUGGAGGAUCUUUCACGCGCUUCUGGGGACGGGAUAAUCGAGGAUAAGGAAGAGUUUUCUCAACGUCCAACUCCACAAGGUCACAACGACGGGUUAUACAUGGACGAUGUUCCAGAAGUCCUUCAAGACGGGCAAAGCGAGAAUAUGGAUUGCUGUGAGCUCUCAAAUCCAGAAGUUAUUGUGGACAGCUCGCAGGAUGAUCCAGAAGUAGCAGACUCGACUGCUCGAGUAGAAACCGAAAAUGCGGCGUCCAACAACACAUCCAUAAAAGCAAGGCACUGGAAGGAGAUGGUUGAACGAGCAACGAGGAAAGCUAGGCACAAAGAUCACUAUAAAGAAGUACCUUUUAUGAAGAGGAUGCUAGCAAACAGGAGUCUACUGAGAGCGAGGCUCAAGAGAACCGAGGUUCUGACGCAGCGGAGGAUAAAAAGCGUCGACAUGGUGCAGAACGACGAAGUAUUACGGCCAAGAUCAACCAGUGAGGUGAACACAAGAGGAGAGCUACGUAAGGAGCAGCCAGUUUUUGGAAGGAAGAGGUUUAUGGAGAAGGCGAUGGCAGAGUCCGCGAAGAAAAUGACCGAGAAGAGAGGUGCGGCAGCUUCGCCGUUGAGGAACAUAUCGAAUCAGCUCAGUGUCCGCGAUCAAGCCAGUGCUCCAGUGGAUAGUCCAGCAAAUCGAGACGCUCCACGAAGAACACCCGUGAGCCUUUGUGGAGGAAAGGUCGCCAGUGUUCACAGAAGACACCAGGCACAAUUCAAGACUCCUCUCUCGGGAAAGUCUCAUCAGAAGACGUUGUCGGCUGUUUCCAAGAUGGCAGCGCUGCAGCGAAACGAGAUCUUGAGCUCCAGACGACGCAUGUUUGACAAGGAGGUGGAAAGCUAGUCUCCUCAAAAAAAUCAGUGACUGCAACUACUCUAAAGUUAUUUCUAUUGCUAGGCCCAAGAAACUCAUCCAGGCAAAAGAAACUCCACAACUUGGGAGGUGAUGUCGUCCACCUCUUGAGGUGUGUGCGAGCUGAAGGGCUCCCGAAAAUCCCUGGUCAUGACACUGUUUUCCAGCAGGAGAGAAGCCAGAUAACUCAUGCUCUCGCUAGCCUCCUGGAGACUGGGAUCCUGGAUGAAAACCACGCCCAAAUUCCAAAAGUAUCUCUCGUAGAGUGUGGCUUCCCACGAAGAGCAUGAAUCAGCUCCAUGCAUGAA